AUGAGUAGGGCUGUGGCCCUGGAUGGAGUACUGCGUGUCUCUGAGAGGCCUGAGGUAACCUGUGUUGCUCAGUUUUCUAAAACAGAUAAGCCCUGUUCCAUCAUGAGCACUGAAGAACCAACCUCAAGUACUGAAGAUGGGGAGGAGAAGAGCAUGCCGGGCCAAUCAAAUGAUAAAGAAAAUGAAAAGUUUUCUAAAACAGAUAAGCCCUGUUCCAUCAUGAGCACUGAAGAGCCAACCUCAAGCCCGGAAGAGGGGGAGGAGAGCAUGCCGGGCCAAUCAACCGAUAAAGAAAAUGAAAAGUUUUCUAUGACAGCAGAAUUUAAAUACAGUACGAGUUCCAAUGGACUGCAUUCUGGAGCACUGGAGCUACAGAUUUAA
rnacentral:lncRNA from 1 species